CCUACGGGAGGCAGCAGUGAGGAAUAUUGGUCAAUGGCCGGAAGGCUGAACCAGCCAUGCCGCGUGAAGGUCAGUGCCCUAUGGGCGUUAAACUUCUUUUGUGCGGGAGCAAUAAUGGUCACUUGUGGCCAGACGAGAGUACCGUACGAAUAAGCAUCGGCUAACUCCGUGCCAGCAGCCGCGGUAAUACGGGGGAUGCAAGCGUUAUCCGGAUUUAUUGGGUUUAAAGGGUGCGUAGGCUGUGAGGUAAGUCAGCGGUGAAAUGCCCCCGCUCAACGGGGUGAAGUGCCAUUGAUACUGCCUGGCUGGAAUGCGGAUGCCGUGGGAGGAAUGUGUGGUGUAGCGGUGAAAUGCAUAGAUAUCACACAGAACACCGAUUGCGAAGGCAUCUCACGAAUCCGCGAUUGACGCUGAUGCACGAAAGCGUGGGUAUCAAACAGGAUUAGAUACCCGAGUAGUC
rnacentral:rRNA from 1 species